GAUGAACGCUGGCGGCGUGCCUAAUACAUGCAAGUCGAGCGAACGGACGAGAAGCUUGCUUCUCUGAUGUUAGCGGCGGACGGGUGAGUAACACGUGGAUAACCUACCUAUAAGACUGGGAUGACUUCGGGAAACCGGAGCUAAUACCGGAUGAUAUUUUGAACCGCAUGGUUCAAAAGUGAAAGACGGUCUUGCUGUCACUUAUAGAUGGAUCCGCGCUGCAUUAGCUAGUUGGUAAGGUAACGGCUUACCAAGGCAACGAUGCAUAGCCGACCUGAGAGGGUGAUCGGCCACACUGGAUCUGAGACACGGUCCAGACUCCUACGGGAGGCAGCAGUAGGGAAUCUUCCGCAAUGGGCGAAAGCCUGACGGAGCAACGCCGCGUGAGUGAUGAAGGUCUUCGGAUCGUAAAACUCUGUUAUUAGGGAAGAACAUAUGUGUAAGUAACUGUGCACAUCUUGAUGGUACCUAAUCAGAAAGCCACGGCUAACUACGUG
rnacentral:rRNA from 1 species